AUGCGGAACUCCUCCAUGGUGAGCGGGCGGCCGGGCUCCCAGAACACGGCCGCGCGCAUGAAGCUCGGCCCGCCCGACACGUGGUACCCCGAGGCGUCCGGCACCGACGACGACGACGACGACAAGGACCGCCGGAGGGCGCCGCCGAUCCGGCUGAGGGCGCGGCGGGAAGCGGUGGAGAUGGACAUGGUGUGCCUGCCAACGGAACUCUGCAACUUCACCAACUACUCUACUCCGUUGCUGUCUUGCUGGUCUGUUUGGAGAGACCAUAUUUAUACAACAACUCUCAAGCAUUUUUAUACUGAGCACUCCAACUUUUCAUUCAGUAAGCGGCUGCUCCAUCAUCCAACCAAAGAGAGGACCGAUCGGAUCGAUUAG
rnacentral:rRNA from 1 species